CCUACGGGCGGCAGCAGUGGGGAAUAUUGGGCAAUGGGCGCAAGCCUGACCCAGCAACGCCGCGUGAAGGAAGAAGGCUUUCGGGUUGUAAACUUCUUUUAAGAGGGAAGAGCAGAAGACGGUACCUCUUGAAUAAGCCACGGCUAACUACGUGCCAGCAGCCGCGGUAAUACGGAGGAUGCGAGCGUUAUCCGGAUUUAGUGGGUUGAAAGGGUGCGCAGGCGGAGGUGCAAGUCAGCGGUCAAAUUGCGGGGCUCAACCCCGUACUGCCGUUGAAACUGCAUCCCGUGAGUGCGCGAGAGGGAUGCGGAAGGCGUGGUGUAGCGGGGAAAUGCAGAGAUAUCACGCAGAACUCCGAUUGCGAGGGCAGCAGGCCGGCGCGCAAGUGACGCUCAUGCACGAAAGCGUGGGUAUCGAACAGGAGUAGAUACCCGAGUAGUG
rnacentral:rRNA from 1 species